rnacentral:rRNA from 1 species
GUAGGGUCCAAGCGUUAAUCGGGAAUUACUGGGGCGUAAAGCGUGCGCAGGCGGUUGUGCAAGACCGAUGUGAAAUCCCCCGGGGCUUAACCUGGGAAUUGCAUUGGUGACUGCACGGCUAGAGUGUGUCAGAGGGGGGGUAGAAUUCCACGUGUAGCAGUGAAAUGCGUAGAGAUGUGGAGGAAUACCGAUGGCGAAGGCAGCCCCCUGGGAUAACACUGACGCUCAUGCACGAAAGCGUGGGGAGCAAACAGGAUUAGAUACCCUGGUAGUCCACGCCCUAAACGAUGUCAACUAGUUGUUGGGGAUUCAUUUCCUUAAUAACGUAGCUAACGCGUGAAGUUGACCGCCUGGGGAGUACGGUCGCAAGAUUA